AGUGGCGGACGGGUGAGUAACGCGUGGGUAACCUGCCUUGUACUGGGGGAUAGCAGCUGGAAACGGCUGGUAAUACCGCAUAAGCGCACAAUGUUGCAUGACAUGGUGUGAAAAACUCCGGUGGUAUAAGAUGGACCCGCGUCUGAUUAGCUAGUUGGUGAGAUAACAGCCCACCAAGGCGACGAUCAGUAGCCGACCUGAGAGGGUGACCGGCCACAUUGGGACUGAGACACGGCCCAGACUCCUACGGGAGGCAGCAGUGGGGAAUAUUGCACAAUGGAGGAAACUCUGAUGCAGCGACGCCGCGUGAGUGAAGAAGUAAUUCGUUAUGUAAAGCUCUAUCAGCAGGGAAGAUAGUGACGGUACCUGACUAAGAAGCUCCGGCUAAAUACGUGCCAGCAGCCGCGGUAAUACGUAUGGAGCAAGCGUUAUCCGGAUUUACUGGGUGUAAAGGGAGUGUAGGUGGCCAUGCAAGUCAGAAGUGAAAAUCCGGGGCUCAACCCCGGAACUGCUUUUGAAACUGUAAGGCUGGAGUGCAGGAGGGGUGAGUGGAAUUCCUAGUGUAGCGGUGAAAUGCGUAGAUAUUAGGAGGAACACCAGUGGCGAAGGCGGCUCACUGGACUGUAACUGA
rnacentral:rRNA from 1 species